GCCAGACUCCUACGGGAGGCAGCAGUGGGGAAUAUUGCACAAUGGGGGGAACCCUGAUGCAGCGACGCCGCGUGGGUGAAGGAGCACCUCGGUGCGUAAAGCCCUCUCGGCAGGGAAGAAAAGCGAACAGGUUCGCCUGGACGGUACCUGACUAAGAGGCCCCGGCUAACUACGUGCCAGCAGCCGCGGUAAUACGUAGGGGGCAAGCGUUAUCCGGAUUCACUGGGCGUAAAGGGAGCGCAGGCGGCACGGCAAGUCUGGUGUGAAAACCCGGGGCUCAACCCCGGGACUGCAUUGGAAACUGCCGGGCUGGAGUGUCGGAGGGGUAAGCGGAAUUCCUAGUGUAGCGGUGAAAUGCGUAGAUAUUAGGAGGAACACCAGUGGCGAAGGCGGCUUACUGGACGAUGACUGACGCUGAGGCUCGAAAGCGUGGGGAGCAAA
rnacentral:rRNA from 1 species